AAGAGAAAAGUCCAAAGAAAUAGCUUCUAACUAAAUUCUAAAGCGGUUAGACUCCGUUUAUCUCUUA
rnacentral:tRNA from 1 species